CACGGCAAAGGGAAUUGCCCCUCAGGAGCAGAGGGUUAUGUCAGAGGGGAGGCGCGAACCAGGUCGCAUAGCACAUUCUAGGAUGUAAUGAGUGUGGAUUCUAUGUUGCCAUGGGAAGCCAGCAUCCUUGCACGAGGUGGUUAAGUGCUGAGAGAAGAUAAAUCAGAUUAAGGGGCUAGAGAGAGACUGGAAGCCUGGGGAAGCUAUUUGAAACAAACGGGCAGAGGAGCUCUCUCUGAGGAAGUGACUUUAGGGCUGAGUCUUGAAAUAUCUGAAGUAGCGACCAUGCAGAUUUCUGGGAUAAGCCAGUUCCAGGCAGAAAAAAUAGCACUGAAGUGGGAAUAAGCAUCACAUAUCCUGGAAAGAGCAAGAAGGUCAGCGUGGCCAGGGCACAAUACCAGAGGAAGCAGGGGGAGGAGGCCAGCCCUGUGGAGGCCGUGGGACGGUACUUGGCUUUUAUUCUAAAUACACUGGGAAGAUUUUCGAGGACUGUAAGUAGAAAUGACAUGAAUGCACAUUUUUCCCCCUGGAUUGCAAAUAAUCUGAACCAGGGUAAAACCAUUACAAAGUGGCCUUCAAACAUCAUGUCUGUAUUGGAACUGAAUGAUUGAUCAGACAUUUAAAUACGGAAACUGGGAAUUCA
rnacentral:lncRNA from 10 species